GUUACAAGCUGUAUUUGUGCAAAAGCAGACGUAAAUACAACUGCUGGAAAUAACAGAUUUAUAAUAUGUCGGUGAUAAACGGACGGGGGGGAUGUGAUACGUCCUGCCCAUUACAAUGCAGUGCCGCUCGCGAUUCUCGAUUCCAUCAAGAAUAAGAAUAAUUUAAAUGAAUCUUUUUACAUAUUAAUGCCGUUGAUUAUUUAGUACUUUUUAUGUAAUAUUUUAUAUUUAAAACGUUUUUAACUUUAAACACGAUUCAUAUGUGGAUCAACACAUUACAUACUAAUUUGUUAUGUGUUUACAGCCAAUGUUACAUAAUCUAUUCGAUUUAAAGAGUGGCCGUUGAGUUUCUUGUAUGUUCUUCUCAUGAGAUCAACUUUUUCCGAACUUAUAGUAGAUUCUGUAGUUUAAAAGUAAUAUUUAAAGUGACGAUUAAAAAGCGCUUAGUUUAAGCCUAAUUGAAUAAAGUUUAUUUGACUUUGACUAUGCAUUGUCAUUAAAUUUGUAUAAGUUUUAAUAUUUUACAAGUUUAUAUGUAUGUAUGACUAUAUUGUGAUUUGAAUCGUGGGAUCAAAUUAGAUGUAAAGUCUCACCACACCGUAAUUUUACUCAUUCUCUUUGAACAUCAGAAGAAUCACAUGAGCAAUGCAUGCCUUUAUUAAUAGAUCACUGCCGCCCAUUACUGGAUAAACAAUGGGACGCCGAGCGCGUAUUUAUUUUAGCUUCGAAUAAUGGGGAAAUUCAUAAGAUGACCCCUCAAUUUAGAACCUUUUAGAAGAGAAGAAGAGAAGCUAUUUACAAGAAGCAUAUUUACCUAUUAAUAAAUCAUUUUUUAGCUUCCCGUAUAGGAUACACAAACUGAGGCUAAAAUGUGUUGCAAGGCUUCUAAAUCUGCGUACAAUACACGAAAGUGUUGAAUUAUAUAUAUAUUUGAAAUAGAAAAUUAACACACAGUUGAUUUAAAAAAAAACUAAUAUUGACCAUAAUUUAACCCCCUUAUUCAUAAUAGUCUGCUAACUUAAAGCAUUGCUAAUUCUCACUCUGUCUUCUUCUAUUGACCUAAGUCAGAAUGAGAAAAAACACUCCUUAGCGGCUGUUUUAAGUUAGCGGACCAUUAUGAAUAAGGGGGUUAAACGUUAACGUAAGAUUGGAUUUGCAAUAAAGUUGGCACUAAUUCGAAAAGUAUACAAUCCAAUAUUGCAUAUCCUUGUGAUAUUGCUAAAUGGCACUACAAUACAGGGUGUAUAAAAUGUAUUUUUAUCUUGUUAAACAAAUUUUAUAAUUAACGAUUUAAUUAUUCAUUAAUGUGCAAAUCUCUCGGAUAUGGGUGUUUGGUAAUAUGUUUUUUGUAAAGUAACAAUUUAAGAUUCUGACUCCAUUGUUGAUAAUUAUUUCAAACAAACAUUUAAUAUCUUAAUAUGAUUGUUUGUUACAGAAGAUAAGAGAUUCUAGCUUCUCCAGCUAAUAUAGGCAUAUAUUGCAUAGGUAACAGAAAGCGUAUUAAUUAGAAUAUAGUUAAGUGACAUAUCAUUUACGAUAAGAAUUACUUGUAAGUUAAAUAUAUACUUAUACUUGUUUGACAUUUCCAAAUAAAGUUAUUUCUUACU